AUUGAACGCUGGCGGCAGGCCUAACACAUGCAAGUCGAACGAGUGGCGGACGGGUGAGUAAUGUCUGGGAAACUGCCCGAUGGAGGGGGAUAACUACUGGAAACGGUAGCUAAUACCGCAUACCAUCGGAUGUGCCCAGAUGGGAUUAGCUAGUAGGUGGGGUAACGGCUCACCUAGGCGACGAUCCCUAGCUGGUCUGAGAGGAUGACCAGCAACACUGGAACUGAGACACGGCCCAGACUCCUACGGGAGGCAGCAGUGGGGAAUAUUGCACAAUGGGCGCAAGCCUGAUGCAGCAAUGCCGCGUGUGUGAAGAAGGUCUUCGGAUUGUAAAGUACUUUCAGCGAGGAGGCGUUACUCGCAGAAGAAGCAACGGCUAACUCCGUGCCAGCAGCCGCGGUAAUUC
rnacentral:rRNA from 1 species